rnacentral:rRNA from 2 species
AGGAGUGGAGCCUGCGGCUUAAUUUGACUCAACACGGGAAACCUCACCAGGCCCAGACACUGGAAGGAUUGACAGAUUGAGAGCUCUUUCUUGAUUCAGUGGGUGGUGGUGCAUGGCCGUUCUUAGUUGGUGGAGUGAUUUGUCUGGUUAAUUCCGAUAACGAACGAGACUCUAGCCUACUAAAUAGACGUUACACUUACCAGUAUCUCGAAGGCUCACAUCUCUCGGCUCAUAUUAACCGCCCUUCGCCGGCCAUUUCGGUGGUUGGUUGUUGGGUGGUGAGCGGGAGUUCGUGGUUUUUACUACUGGCGUACAUAUAUUUCUUCUUAGAGGGACAGGCGGCUUCUAGCCGCACGAGAUUGAGCAAUAACAGGUCUGUGAUGCCCUUAGAUGUUCUGGGCCG